rnacentral:lncRNA from 1 species
UGGGUGUAAAAUGUCCGAAAGGAACCCCCUGUUUAAAAUCUUCAUGGAAUAAACAAUGCCCUUCAUCUGAAAUAGUUGUGGGUAACUCAGCAACAAAUUCGUCGGUUGAUGGCAGGUGUGAUAAUAAGUGUAGAGGUGGUUAUCCGUGUAAAUGACAGCUGCAUCAAAAUAGUGAUUCUUUGGCCUAUAACGAUCAACCAUGAUGUGGACAAUUAUCUUAAGAUUUAUUUUGAAGUGUCUGACAUUCCAUUGUUUGAUUACAGUAAACGAUGUAAAAUUAUUAUUUUUGUACAAAAAUCUUUUU